rnacentral:rRNA from 1 species
UACGUAGGCGGAAUAUUAAGUCAGUGGUGAAAUCCUGCAGCUUAACUGUAGAAUUGCCAUUGAUACUGAUCUUCUUGAAUUUAGUUGAGGUGGGCGGAAUGUGUAAUGUAGCGGUGAAAUGCUUAGAUAUUACACAGAACACCGAUUGCGAAGGCAGCUCACUAAACUAACAUUGACGCUAAGGUACGAAAGCGUGGGGAGCGAACAGGAUUAGAUACCCUGGUAGUCC